CCGAGUUUACAACUCCCUAACCCACUGUGAACCUACCUAAGUUGCUUCGGCGGGGGCCCCGGGGUGCCGCGAGCCCCGGAGCUAGGCCCCCGCCGAGGGCCCGAACUCUCUGUAUUUGCAGCGGUUUGCUCUGAGUUACAGCGGAAUAGAAUCA
rnacentral:misc_RNA from 1 species